AACGAUAAAGGCAAACCUACCGCGAGGUAGGGACGCAAAGCCGUGAAUCUCAACAAGCUAGCCCCGAAGUCGGGGUCGAGCCUGUAGAGAUUGUCUGGUUGCCGAAG
rnacentral:ncRNA from 1 species